UGGUUCUGGCAUCGAUGAAGAACGCAGCGAAAUGCGAUAAGUAAUGUGAAUUGCAGAAUUCAGUGAAUCAUCGAAUUUUUGAACGCAUAUUGCACCUUAGAGUAUUCUUUAAGGUAUACCUGUUCGAGCGUCGUUUAGAACAAAUAAAGCUUUGCUUUGUGAUGAGCUUUGGAUCUCUCAUAAUCCAAUUCUCCAAACUCAAUGGCGUAUAUUGAAAUUGCCAAAGUACAGUGAAAAUGUAUUAUUGGUGGCAUCAAAAUCGUCAAACAAAAAACAAAUUGUUCGACCUCGAAUCAAGUAAGAUUACCCGCUGA
rnacentral:misc_RNA from 1 species